GAUACUUUCACACUGCGUGCGCGUAACAAACCCCUAAACAUGAAUAACCUAGUCAAGAAUCCAUAAGAAUAAAACUUUCAACAACGGAUCUCUUGGUUCUCGCAUCGAUGAAGAGCGCAGCGAAAUGCGAUACCUAGUGUGAAUUGCAGCCAUCGUGAAUCAUCGAGUUCUUGAACGCACAUUGCGCCCCCUGGUAUUCCGGGGGGCAUGCCUGUUUGAGCGUCGUUUCUAUCUCACGCAAGUGGAGCUGGCCCGGCCUUGGCCCCGCCGAAAAGAAACGAGGGCGAAGCGAACUAUGUUGUGCGCCGACCCCAGCUAUCAAGCUCGACCUCAAAUCAGGUAGGAAUACCCGCUGAACUUAAGCAUAUCAAUAAGCGGAGGAAAAGGAUCAUUACUGUGAUAUACUUUCCACACUGCGUGCGCGUAACAAACCCCUAAACAUGAAUAACCUAGUCAAGAAUCCAUAAGAAUAAAACUUUCAACAACGGAUCUCUUGGUUCUCGCAUCGAUGAAGAGCGCAGCGAAAUGCGAUACCUAGUGUGAAUUGCAGCCAUCGUGAAUCAUCGAGUUCUUGAACGCACAUUGCGCCCCUGGUAUUCGGGGGGCAUGCCUGUUUGAGCGUCGUUUCUAUCUCACGCAAGUGGAGCUGGCCGGCUUGGCCCGCGAAAAGAAACGAGGGCGAAGCGAACUAUGUUGUGCGCGACCCAGCUAUCAGCUCGACUUCAAUCAGGUUAGGAAUAACCGCUGAACUUAAGCAUAUCAAUAGGGCGGAAGGAAAUU
rnacentral:rRNA from 1 species